rnacentral:misc_RNA from 1 species
GGAAGUAAAAGUUGUAACAAGGUUUCCGUAGGUGAACCUGCGGAAGGAUCAUUAUUGUAUAACCGAGGUGCGAGGGCUGUCGCUGACCCGAAAGGUCGUGCACGCCCGAGUGCCCUCACACACAUCCAUCUCACCCCUAUGUGCACCACCGCGUGGGUCCCCCUUUGGCUUGUUCGGAGGGGGGCUUACGUUUUCACACAAACUUUGUAUGCAGUGUAGAAUUUAUUUUUUGUUUUUGCGAUCACGCAAUCAAUACAACUUUCAACAACGGAUCUCUUGGCUCUC